rnacentral:rRNA from 1 species
UACGGAGGGUGCAAGCGUUAUCCGGAUUCACUGGGUUUAAAGGGUGCGUAGGCGGGGAUAUAAGUCAGUGGUGAAAGCUCCGAGCUUAACUUGGAAACUGCCAUUGAUACUGUAUAUCUUGAAUAUCGUAGAGGUUAGCGGAAUGUUGCAUGUAGCGGUGAAAUGCUUAGAUAUGUUACAGAACACCAAUUGCGAAGGCAGCUAACUAUGCGACAAUUGACGCUGAGGCACGAAAGCGUGGGGAGCAAACAGG